rnacentral:lncRNA from 1 species
UCCCGCUUGGUUCCGUGGCUCUUCGGGAUCAGUGGGGGACGAUGCCGGCCGCAUUUAGAUUCCUUGUGAGGUGCCCUGAGAUACCAUGUUGGAGAUGGCGGCUGUGCCCUGCUGCUCCGUUGUCUGCUUCCGUGCACAGCUUGUGACCAUCGUGUGCUGGGACACCUGUGCCAAAUUUUGAUGCCUCUUUACACAUCCUCCAAGUAGAGGAUGUAGGUGAUGGACAACCAACAGAUGGCACCAGGCCCUCCCAUACGCUCUAUGAAAAUGAUGAGAAUGACUUCCAAGGCUGUGAGUGGUGGCUGAUGAGAAGCUAAGAAGAG